rnacentral:rRNA from 1 species
CAAAGGCCCCGAAGGAAGCCACGGCUAACUCUGUGCCAGCAGCCGCGGUAAUACAGAGGUGGCAAGCGUUGUUCGGUAUUAUUGGGCGUAAGGAGCACGUAGGUGGUUCUGUAAGUCAGAUGUGAAAGCCUUCUGUCCAAAGGAAGAACGGCAUCUGAAACUACAGAUCUUGAGUGUAGGAGGGGAGAGUGGAACUUCUGGUGGAGCGGUGAAAUGCGUAGAUAUCAGAAGGAACGUCGGCGGCGAAAGCGACUCUCUGGCCUAUUACUGACACUGAGUGUGCGAAAGUUAGGGGAGCAAACGGGAUUAGAUACCCCGGUAGUCCUAACUGUAAA